AGAGUUUGAUCAUGGCUCAGAGCGAACGCUGGCGGCGUGCUUAACACAUGCAAGUCGAACGAGUGUAGCAAUACAUUCGUGGCGAACGGGUGCGUAGCACGUGGAUAACCUUCCUUCAAGUGGGGAAUAACCCAGUGAAAAUUGGGCUAAUACCGCAUAACAAAAUCGGGGCACAUGCUUUGAUUUUCAAAGGCGCAAGUCGCUAGAAGAGGGAUCCGCGGCCGAUUAGCUCGUUGGCGGGGUAACGGCCCACCAAGGCAAUGAUCGGUAGCCGGUCUGAGAGGAUGAUCGGCCACACUGGAACUGAGACACGGUCCAGACUCCUACGGGAGGCAGCAGUGGGGAAUCUUGCGCAAUGGGCGAAAGCCUGACGCAGCAACGCCGCGUGGGGGAUGAAGCUUCUCGGAGUGUAAACCCCUUUCGACCCGGACGAAUGCCCGCAAGGGCUUGACGGUACGGGUAUAAGAAGCCCCGGCUAACUACGUGCCAGCAGCCGCGGUAAAACGUAGGGGGCCAGCGUUGCUCGGAAUUACUGGGCGUAAAGGGUCCGUAGGCGGUGUGGCAAGUCGGAAGUGAAAUCUCUGGGCUUAACUCAGAGGCUGCUUCCGAAACUGCUGUGCUAGAGGAUGAGAGAGGCGAGUGGAAUUGCGGGUGUAGCGGUGAAAUGCGUAGAUAUCCGCAGGAACAUCCGAGGCGAAGGCGGCUCGCUGGAUCAUUUCUGACGCUGAGGGACGAAAGCUAGGGGAGCAAACAGGAUUAGAUACCCCUGUAGUCC
rnacentral:rRNA from 1 species